CUGGGUCAGAACCCAGGAUGAGAAUAAAAGGACUGAGGGACAGGACACUUCCAUACCCUCACAGCCUGAGAUACCCAAGGAGAUUGUGCUGCCCAUCAUCUUGCUCCUGAGCAUUCACUGGCCAAGAUGUCCUGCCAGCAGAACCAGCAGCAAUGCCAGCCCCCUCCCAAGUGCACGCCCAAGUGCCCUCCCAAGUGCCAGACCCCAAAGUGCCCUCCAAAAUGUCCUCCUAAGUGCCCUCCCAAGUGCCCGCCUGUGUCUUCCUGCUGUAGCCUGGGUUCUGGGGGCUGCUGUGGCUCCAGCUCUGGGGGCUGCUGCAGCUCUGGGGGUGGCGGCUGCUGCCUGAGCCACCACAGGCCCCGCAGAUCUCUGCGUUGCCAUCGUCACAGCUCUGGAUGCUCUAGCAGUGGGGGCAGCAGUGGCUGCUGUGGCAGCAGUGGGGGAAGCAGUGGGUGCUGUGGCAGUAGCCAGCAGUCAGGGGGCUGUUGCUGACCUGAAUGAGGAAGACAUCAGACAAGCUGUGCAGGAAGAUCACUCAGAAGACUCAUCAAUGGUUGAUGCUCUGUCUCCUGCUUCCCACCUAGCCCUGCCCUGAAAUGAUGGAAUCUUCUCCUGGAAAAUGUUCUGCACUCUACUCAUGAGAUUUCAAUGUCUUUUUGUCUCUUUAUUACAAAUAAUAAUAAAAAACCCUCCCUGACAAGCAUUACA